rnacentral:misc_RNA from 1 species
AACGCACAUUGCGCCCCUUGGUAUUCCAUGGGGCAUGCCUGUUCGAGCGUCAUUUGUACCCUCAAGCUCUGCUUGGUGUUGGGUGUUUGUCCCGCUAUUGCGCGUGGACUCGCCUUAAAGCAAUUGGCAGCCGGCAUAUUGGCCUGGAGCGCAGCACAAUUUGCACUUCUUGCCUUUUGAAUGUCGAGCAUCCAGAAGCAACUCUUUUUGCUUUUGACCUCGGAUCAGGUAGGGAUACCCGCUGAACUUAA